rfam:gamma proteobacterium BDW918 genomic scaffold scaffold00011, whole genome shotgun sequence.
GCCUUGUGCCUGAAAGGGCGACGCGGCAACGCGGAGCGAGAAGUCAGCAGAGGCCAUAGUAGCCGCCAACACAGGGCGAAGGGC